UCUGCACCCACUGGUUCCAGGUCCACAUGGCGGCGGCUUCACUGCAGAUCGACGACAGGCAUGCUUGCGACUCCCGGCGACCAUCCAGCGAGGUUCGUCGCGUCGUGGGCCUUCUAGGUGGAAAAGAUAUCGAGGGACUGUUGUGCUGAUUCUGGGUUUUGGGCUGUAUGUAUCUUACCUGCUAGCUGCUGCCCAUAGAACUUUUGUUUGCAGUUGCUCGAUCGUUACCUUCAUGGCUGGAGGUAAGCGCAUAUCAGCUGCUACCAAGCAUGACACCCUAGGUAGAAUCUUUCGGCACCACUGGAUGGUGAGUAGCUGGUGAAGCGAAUGAAGCUUGUGUUCCACGUGUUUACUUUGAGUUUUUUGAGGAUGUCUUCGCUCCGUUGCUGGGGUGCUAUAUGUCCCAUAUCAUCCAUCGAUGUUCUCAUUUAUGACGCUAUUAACAAAUUCUAAGGACCCCUAGGUCCAUGUACCAUGUGUUUUCCCAAACCUAAAAGUUUGUGUUUUUGUGUUCAACAAGAUUCUGCACAGUUUACAUUUUCAGUUAAGUGUUUGGUUGGACAGAGUUAGCAUGAUAUUUAGUACAGGCAAUGGUGAGAAGUAAUGUUUUGCUCUUUACUCUUGUUGCUUUUGAUGUUCUUGGUGAAUUUGUAGGCUAUAUGUACUCUUGAUCUAUUAGCGUUUUGUAACUUCCUUCCCUCAAAGUUUUGCUCCCGUGAUCCUUAGGAGAGAUGCAGCAAGUUAAUACCUUUAUUGACCAAUAGAACAGAAAGGUUUUCCCAACUUUGGUCUAGAUUUGAACCAGUGUAUAUUGACUAGAUGUAUUAUGCGAUAUGUCAUAAUAUAUCAUGUAAGGUUGUACCAAACGUUUCCUUGUCUUGGUUCGAUAAAUGCAAACAUUUUUGUGCUCAAUAUUUAUUUUUCUUUUAAUAUUCAUGAUUU